CGGGAGCUGCUCCUGCGGCCCGGCGGCGGCAGCGCCGGGUAGAGGCCUCGCCGCCACGGAUGGACGGACAGACGGACGGAGGGAGGCGAGGCGGCCGCGGCGCCCCUGGGCCUCCUGCCGCGCCAAAGAUCCGGCUCUGAUGGAAACUGGUUGUGCGGUGUCUUAUUAGAGCCCCCGUCUGCGGCAGCGCGAGGGGUGCGCGGUUACCGCAGGGAGCAGCGGGGAGCUCGGCAGCCGUCCGGAGCA